rnacentral:piRNA from 1 species
UCUGGAAAAUGGGCUCAAUGCAAAGGU